AUAUUUAUUUUUCCUUCUGUAUUAAUGAUAGAUGUUUGGAUAUUUUCAUUUGAGUUGUUAUUUCGCCUUUAUAACAUUUGAUGUAUGCUAACAUUAUUAUUUUGUAUAGAUCGGGUCGGAGAACUGGAGCACAUGCUAUGUGCUAAUGCUAAUAUUUCCCGAUUGACAGAUUACACAAACGGAGUCCGCCUCCAAACCCUGACUCGGAGUUUUAUGAUUUGUCCGAUCACCACAUGACACACAAAACGCAGAAGUCCACCGGUCACAUCUGUAAUGAAAUUAAGCUUUUGUUUAACGAUGAACGGAUAUUAUAUUAUAUAAUUUGUGGCCCAACUUUGCUCUGGAGUCUCAAGGUGCAAGACUUGUACACAAGAUGACGUCCGAAACAUAUCAGCGCACCAGACCAUGCAGAUUUUUUGGCAUAACUUCCCAACAACAGCAACAAUCCAUAGGCUCAAACAUUGUCAUUCAGGGAAGAACUCGUCUGAAUCCUGGAGAAUGCUGGGCCUUUACAGGAUUCCCGGGACGUUUAUCCAUCCAACUGUCCCACAGAGCCACUGUGACUCAUGUGUCUCUGGGACAUAUUCCUAAAGCGAUAUCCCCAUCUUCCAAAGUCUCGAGGGCUGUGAGGGAAUU